rnacentral:lncRNA from 1 species
GCCAGUCCUGAAAUAGCAUCGUCCAGUAUUGAAUCAUCAACAUCAUGCCGAUCAUACUUCUAGGUAUAUACAACAAAAAAUUUACAGAGCAAGAUGUUUUAUAGAUUUGCAUUAAUUUGCAUCAAUUUGCUUCGACCAGUAUGGACCGACACAUACAAUACCCCGGCAUGGUAUCUUCGUGCCACGCCUUUCCUCUUUCAACAAAGUGCAUGUCGUAUGCUCUUCAUCUCCACU